ACGGAAGGCAGCAGUGAGGAAUAUUGGUCAAUGGGCGAAAGCCUGAACCAGCCAAGUCGCGUGAAGGAUGAAGGUAUUAUGUAUUGUAAACUUCUUUAGCAGCAGAGUAAUAAGGGGGUCGUGACCCCCGAUGCAAGUAUGCUGAAAAUAAGGAUCGGCUAACUCCGUGCCAGCAGCCGCGGUAAUACGGAGGAUCCGAGCGUUAUCCGGAUUUAUUGGGUUUAAAGGGUGCGCAGGCGGUUUUUUAAGUCAGUGGUUAAAGCGUGAGGCUCAACCUCAUCACGCCAUUGAUACUGGAAGACUUGAUUGCGGUUGAGGUUGGCGGAAUUCGUCGUGUAGCGGUGAAAUGCAUAGAUAUGACGAAGAACACCGAUUGCGUAGGCAGCUGACCAAGCCGUAAAUGACGCUCAUGCACGAAAGUGCGGGGAUCGAACAGGAUUAGAUACCCUGGUA
rnacentral:rRNA from 1 species